UACGGAGGGGGCUAGCGUUGUUCGGAAUCACUGGGCGUAAAGCGUGCGUAGGCGGCUUGGUAAGUCAGAGGUGAAAGCCUGGAGCUCAACUCCAGAACUGCCUUUGAGACUGCUUGGCUUGAACACGGGAGAGGUGAGUGGAAUUCCGAGUGUAGAGGUGAAAUUCGUAGAUAUUCGGAAGAACACCAGUGGCGAAGGCGGCUCACUGGACCGUUGUUGACGCUGAGGCACGAAAGCGUGGGGAGCAAACAGG
rnacentral:rRNA from 1 species